rnacentral:rRNA from 1 species
CCAUGCCGCGUGUGUGAAGAAGGUCUUCGGAUUGUAAAGCACUUUAAGUUGGGAGGAAGGGCUUACGGUUAAUACCCGCUAAGUUUUGACGUUACCAACAGAAUAAGCACCGGCUAACUUCGUGCCAGCAGCCGCGGUAAUACGAAGGGUGCAAGCGUUAAUCGGAAUUACUGGGCGUAAAGCGCGCGUAGGUGGUUUGUUAAGUUGGAAGUGAAAGCCCCGGGCUCAACCUGGGAAUUGCUUUCAAAACUAGCAGGCUAGAGUACAGUAGAGGGUAGUGGAAUGUCCUGUGUAGCGGUGAAAUGCGUAGAUAUAGGAAGGAACAUCAGUGGCGAAGGCGACUACCUGGACUGAUACUGACACUGAGGUGCGAA